rnacentral:rRNA from 1 species
UGGCGAAAACAGAGGGAAGCAAGCCGGUGACGGUAAGCAAACCCCAAAAAUAUCGUCUCAGUUCGGACUGUAGUCUGCAACUCGACUACACGAAGCCGGAAUCGCUAGUAAUCGCGAAUCAGAAUGUCGCGGUGAAUACGUUCCCGGGUCUUGUACACACCGCCCGUCACACCAUGGGAGUCGGAAAUGCCCGAAGUCAGUGACCUAACCUUUAAGGGAGGAGCUGCCGAAGGUGGAGCCGGUAACUGGGGUGAAGUCGUAACAAGGUAGC